GAUCUUCUUGCCUUUGGCGAUCUCAGAAUGCGAGGAGUGGGCCAGCAUGGGGAGACAGAUGUCUGCUAAGAUUUCUCUCUGUUCUCAGUUCCUUUUGUAAAGUGAUAGAUGCGAGCAAGCUUCUCCCUGACCUAGUUCAGUUCACUUCGGAAGUGCUAGUGCUGCCUCGGGACUGAACCAGGCUCUCUCUUUCCCCACAGCAGGAAAAAGAAAAAAAAAUGGCUGUUCCCAACUACGCUUCUAUCCACACACCCUGCAUGGACAUCUCACUCCAAAGAAAGGCACCAGAGUUUCAGGAGUUUCAAGCACUCUGAUAAAGUAGCCUUCUUUGCUGACUAGGGUUAGGCUCUCUUUGCAGCUAUGGGAAGGCACUGCUAUAGGAAACCACCCAAAAGGGCCUCUCCGACCUGGGUAGAAAACUCUGGCCCAAAUCUCUGGUGAAAACUCAGAAGAUGGCGCACAGAACCUGUUGGCCUUGACUGCAAGUUUUGAGUCAAAGAACCUUGGGACUCAAAGUUUGGAUGGGUGGGGGUGGGGGAAUGGGUCUGAAUGGAAAUCCAGAAUGAUGAGGCCUCUGACCCCAGGGAGACCUCCUGGGCCUCAUUUUGGGUAUGAAUGUCAUAUGUUUUGUGCUGAUGGAAUAUGACUCCUGCCAUAUAUACCCCCAUAAGUCUGCCAUGGAAAUGAAAGUACAUUCUCAAAGCACUGAGCUCAGAGAAGCACUGCCCUUGACUCAGAGAAGGAAGACACACGGAAGUGUGACUGUCAGUUACCAGAGAAAACUUUUUAACGUAGGCCUUGCCAAAAGAUGAAGGCCUUAGGUGGCUGUUUCACCCUUUAGUCUUUGGGGUUUUCUACAUAAAUUGAUUAGAAACACAGCUUCCAGACAAGACAUAUGCGUGUAAUCCCAGCAUGACACACGCUUGUAAUCCCAGAACUAGGGAGUUGUAAGCAAGAGGAUCAGGGCUUGGAGGCCAGCCUAGGCUAAAUGAGACACUAUCUGAAAUAAGAAUAAUAAAAUACUACUUCCUCCUGGAAAAAAAAAAAAGCCAGACAGCCACCAACUGGAGUAUAUACAAGCCUGGCGAUGGGUUUCAUCAACAGAAGUGCAGAGAAUAGCCAGCUUGCUUUGCCAGGCACAGGCUAAAGCUCACUGCCCAGAGGCACCAGGGACAGGUUCCACAUGCUUGACACAGAGCCAGGAGUUCUGGAGCCAACUCAAAGUCUCUGUCCUCAGAAGAGCUCAGAAGAAAAAAAAAAAUGCACUGGAAUAAAGUAGUCAAUGCCCACCCAAUACCCAAAGUACAAAAACUCCAUGCCUUGGACUCGCUGAGUCCAGAGUUCAGGCUGAGUCUUAAUGAUGUGGGAAGCAUUACAGACUGUGGACAGACAGCCACCUCCCUGCCAUCGGCAGAACAAUCGGAAGACAGAGACGAUGCAUAGGGGCCCAGAGGAUCCUGCUGGGCUCUAGGCUCAAUCAUUGCUCUGUGGAUUUGCAAUAUGGGAGUACAUUGUGCACAAACAAGCUUUGUAUUCUGCACAGCUUCAACCUUGCUUCUUGUGUGUCUCUUUGCAAUAUAAACUUAAAUAUAUACUUUAAUGUGCUCAGCCUACCGAGGACUGAUGGAGGAAUGGCUGAAGACAGCCGGAACACUUGAUGUGAAAAAAAUUCUAUAGCUUGAAAGGAUGCCCAGAAAGGCUUCAGGGUGACCCAAAUAAGGACACAGGGCAAUACAUCUUGAAUCUUCUUUCCUCUGAUUCAGGAACAGAAUAUGGACCACCACUGCCAGCCAGCCAGCCAGCAGGAUCUUCAGCGCAGUACAUUCCCAAAAGUUUCUCCAGAGGGAAUAUCUGUGUGGUUCAGGGAUGUUUCAGAGCUGGCUAAGCCUUCCCUGUGUGUGCCAACCAAUAUAAUUAAAAAUGCAUCCCAAGUAAACCUCAGACAACUGAGCCCUCCGCUGCAACGUGGGGGGGCGCGCUCACUGUCGGAGGGUGGUCACCCCGGUGGGCGCAAACAUUGCCCCAGGUGCUCUGCAGCUGGCUGCAAAGGCUCGUGAAAUUCUAUCCUUUCAAGUUCCCAGUGUGCUGGAGAGCAACCCUGAGAGGCCGGCUGGCAGCCCUGCCCCACCUGUGGAAACUAAUGAUACCAGCUCAGCAUAUUGGCAGAGGAAGGAAACUUGCACUGCAAACAGACCUACCGAAACACUGGAAGUAUGUCUGAACAGAAGCACAUUGAUUCAAGUCGCUCAAAGAUCAAAUUACUCUCCCAGCCCAGGUGAUUUUGUCCUAGAAGCCAGGAUACUUGUAUCGACAAGAAUAUUGAUGAAAAACCACUCGCUGCAUCUCGGCGGACCAUAUUAAGGCUGUUAAUCUCGGAAGUGUCCCAUAAUUUUUAUCCGACAUGCAGACUCUUCAUUGGAAAGAGUUUUAACUCCAAUGCAAACAGUAAUAAGGAAAUAAAAUCACUGGUGUAUGUCUUUUCCAAUAUCGGACUUGUCCACAGCAAUUUCAAAAAAGAAAAUAAAAGAUGAGGCCAAAGCUAUUCUUGAACCACGCAGGCAAGCAAACCGCCAGACAAAUGGGAUUCCCGGGAGGGCUGUAACACAGAAAUCAGCAAUUCCAGGAAGAGGUUCCCCCUGCUCCCACCUGAGGGGAUGAACACCCAAGAGCUUGCGUGGGGCCAGCCAAUGGCUCUUGGAGGUUCUUGAGCUGCUUAAAGCGGGUCAUGGUCCCUAAGAGAUGAGAAACUUUCUAUAACAACCCUGAAAAGUCACCCUCAUCCAGCUGCUACCGGGUCAUUUUGCAUAGUCCAAGAAAAGGACUUUGAUACAGAUUCAUCUGUUUCCUAAGGUCAGACAUGAAGAAAUGAGAGCAGCUCAAACUCUGGCCCACAUCAUUGACAGGCCCUCUUAGAGAGGAAGGAGCCGGAGUAUGUGCCAAAGAAUACCUCAGUAUGCACCUGUUCACCCCUUCCUUGCACCUAAACACGAGGCCAGUACAAGGUCCUAGGGACAGCAAGAGUAAGGGAAGGCUCUUGAGGGCCAGUUGACCACACACCUGCCAUAUUAUACCUCCAACACACAGAAUUCUUGGGGUCACCUGGGUCCACAUUGAGAUCAUGGCUGGAACCAUGAAGUGCUCAGAACUACCUUCCCUCUAUUGCAUCAUGAAAUGCCCCAUCCCAAGAUUCUAGACCUCUGGAAGUAGGCAUUAAAAAAAAAAAACUCAAGGAAAGUGGGCAUUGGAUACACUUUUCAUCUCAUCAAUCGAGAGGCAGAAGCAGGUGGAUCUCCAUGAGUUGCAGGCCAGCCUGGUCUCUACCUAGCAAGUCCCUGGUCCUCUAGUACUAGAGAGUGAGUCCCCGUCUAAGUAAAUAGAGACUCAAUGAUUUUGUGCAACAUGAUUCAGUACAAGAAUACAAUUUGGCUUUAAGUUCUUUACAUUUUCAAGGCUUAUUUCCAUCGUAAAAAUAGAGAGUGGACUGGAAAGAAGGAUCAGCAAUUAGGAGCUCUUACUGCUCCUCCAGAGCACUCGGGUUCCAUUUCCCAACCCUCUGACUCCAGUUCCAAGGGAUCUGACCCCCCUCUUCUGGCCUCUGCAGGCACCAGGCAUAUACAUGCAGGCAAAAUGCCCAUACGCAUAAAUUUCUAAAAGGAAACUAUAUGAACAAGUAUCUCAGAAGAUGUUCAGAUUUUUCAAAUAGAAUUUCAUUCCUUUUGCACUUGGGUGCACAUCUGCUGCCCCAAAGCUUGUUCUGGUUGGGUAAUUAUGUAGUGAGACAAGUACCAUCUCAAACUGAUUCUUCUUCAGAUAAACACACACACACACACACACACAUACACACACACACACACACACAUAUAUACACACACACACGCACACACACAUACACAGGCACACACACAUACACACACACAUACACACAUACACACACACACAUACACAUACACACACACACACAUACACACACAUACACGCGCACACACACACACACA
rnacentral:lncRNA from 1 species